GAUGAACGCUGACAGAAUGCUUAACACAUGCAAGUCUACUUGAAUUUGGGUUUUUUUACUUAGAUUUGGGUGGCGGACGGGUGAGUAACGCGUAAAGAACUUGCCUCACAGCUAGGGACAACAUUUGGAAACGAAUGCUAAUACCUGAUAUUAUGAUUAUAAGGCAUCUUAGACUUAUGAAAGCUAUAUGCGCUGUGAGAGAGCUUUGCGUCCCAUUAGCUAGUUGGAGAGGUAACGGCUCACCAAGGCGAUGAUGGGUAGCCGGCCUGAGAGGGUGAACGGCCACAAGGGGACUGAGACACGGCCCUUACUCCUACGGGAGGCAGCAGUGGGAAAUAUUGGACAAUGGACCAAGAGUCUGAUCCAGAAAUUCUGUGUGCACGAUGACGUUUUUCGGAAUGUAAAGUGCUUUCAGUUGGGAAGAAAAAAAUGACGGUACCAACAGAAGAAGUGACGGCUAAAUACGUG
rnacentral:rRNA from 1 species